AAUAAUGUGAUGGCAAGUAUUUUCUCUUUAUGCAGCACAACAAAUAGCUGACGAAACGGGUUGGCUACUGAAACGACAAUGGGAUUUUUUCGCCGCCGAUGUAAUAAACAGUGCAGUGCCAGUACAAGACACAGUUCACAUAGGCGCAAAAUUUCGAACGCGGUUACUGAAAAGAGACCGAGCUACAUUUCUCACAAUAGGUAAAGGGAUUGCUUCGGUGUCUGACCUUGAACAACUCUUAACAGAAGUUACCAAAGGGCAGCACCACUUAAAAAAUGGUGAUCUAAAUUUGCACGACAAAAUGAAUUACGAUGCUGUAAGAAGACUGUGUGACCCUUGUGUCACUGAUAUUCUGUGCGACAAAGUAGCAGGUUCAGAAGUAACGUGCUUCUAUCUUAAGCUAAUGAGACUAAUAACAGCAAGUUAUUUGGAUAAAAGCUUAUCACCACUAGACAGAAUAUAUGGAAUAUGGUAUUCUUGUCUCGCUUUACGGUAUUGGCGACAUUGGCUUCAAGAAAACGGAUACAAACUAGAUAUUAAUUUCAUCACCCUCAACGCGUACAUGUGUGUUGAGAUAAAUGCCCACUCCUUAGUCCUCAUAUCAAGGAGACUAAGAGAGAAUGGAACUCCUCAUCUGUUUCGGCCGUGGCAUUUUGGGAGUCAGAGCUGCGAAUCUUUUUUCGACUUGUCCGGUCGUUGACUUCAACAGAAUCGACCCAAGUAAAUUUAAGUGGAAAAGGUUUUUUCAGUCGUAGCGAGAGAGCGGAUGCCGCAAACCAACUUCUGGGAGAAGGAGAAAACGAUGGAGUUUAUUUCCCGAGGUUUACUCAUGCUUUUGAAGACCAGAGCCAAGACGAUGGCAAAAAUAUUUCUUUCAAUCUUCCUUCUCAUUUACCCUCCGAUGAGGAAAUCGAACGUAUAAUUCGCAAGGCCAUGGUAGAUGUUGACCAUCAGUUUCAAUUAUUAGGUGUGAAAAUGAGAGGAAAAAAGAAAUUUAUGUUCAAUCAAGAACUAGUUCAACGAAUCAAUGUGUCUCGAAAAGAUAAGGAACACCCUGCAGCAUUGAUUGAUAGCAACUUGCUGUUGGAGUUGGAUGACUCCGGUGCAGAAGAAACAGCGGUCGAGGAAAACGUCCAGCCAUGUCCUGACGCGGGUGAUGAAUAUGACAUAGAUGUACUGAAGUCUCUUGGAAUGGCCCAGCUAAGAGAUUUUUCUCAUUUGGUUUCUCGCCAGCUUGAGUCUAGCGCUUUUGCUAGUAUCAUUUGUAAUAAUGGAUCGCAAAUUGUCGUUAAAAAAGCGCGGUCGUGUGGUUUUGUGAAAAUUCAGUUCGGCGAUUAAGCAAUGAUCGCACUUUACGAGUCAUGCAGUUGGCAAAUUUUUCCGAAAGAAGAAAAUUAAAAAUAACUUCUGUUUCAACUCGAAAAGUUGUACAAAUUGGAGACUGGUGUCUUUUUCGGAAUUUGGAAGGGAAUGGUUUUUUUUUGGGGCGAGUUCUCUCUUUUGCAUACUUUAACAGCACUAAAAAAUCUAUUUCCAUGUUUGAAUGGAUAGUUGAUCAAAAAGACCAUGAGGUUGGGGUACUCUGCAUAUGGUAUAAACUAGAUAUAAAUCAAUCUAUAUUUUCGGGAAAAUUAAUCGAAGUACAUGUCCAUCAUGGUUUUCACCCUUGUGUUUCGUAUAUUUGUAGUUGUCCUUCUCCAACAUUUACGUUUGAUGCCCAAGGUUCAAAACAAUUGUUUUUUACCAAUGCAACAGUUAACCAACUAUCAAAUUUUCUCAAGGACAUGACAUUAUCAAGGGACUAAAUAAACUAUUCCGACUCACUACA